UGAGGAAUAUUGGUCAAUGGCCGGAAGGCUGAACCAGCCAAGCCGCGUGAAGGACGAAGGUGCCAAGCAUUGUAAACUUCUUUUGUUCAAGGGACAAAAUCAGGCUCGAGAGCCUGACCGAGGGUACUUGAAGAAAAAGCAUCGGCUAACUCCGUGCC
rnacentral:rRNA from 1 species